AUAUUUAAUUUAGGCUGAUUUUGAGUCAAAAUCUCUAUCUGUUUUACAAGCACUGAGAAAGUUGACCAGUUGACCGCUUCACCCUAUAAUUCGGUUUCUGCAGCACCUUCCUCCUAUAGAAAUUGUUGACAGAUGGAUUUCUGAUUGUUUUCCUGYGGUCACCAAUGCAAACAAGGGACCCAUCUAAGUGACAGGUUUUAAAGGACUAAUAGUAGCAUCUUCUCAUUGGAAACAGGAGAUACCUGCAUGGGUAACAACUGGUUUGGAAGAAGAUCUAAAAGGAUUUGUGUGGUUCUUCAAAUACUGGAUGUGUAUUGACCCCAGAGUUUCUUCAAAAAGAUGGCCUAAUUCAUUGGACUUUGCCUUCCAUGAUCUGACUGCCAGCGAUGGUUGUCCAGGGAAGUACUCAGGUACCUGUUAGACUUGGCUAUCGUAAACUCCCAUCAUUGGUAGACCUGACUAUUUCUAAUGUUGUUCUU
rnacentral:lncRNA from 1 species